AUGCUGCAAAGGAGUUGAUCAAGUUUCACAUUUCAGUCACACUCACUGCUCACAUUGUUACUCAAAAACCCUAAAAUUGAAGAACUCAUUCAGAAAAUGAAGACUAUUCCUCUGAUUCUCAUCGGUUGUGGAGGUGUUGGUUGUCACCUUCUCCAACACAUUGUCUCAUGCCGCUCUCUUCACUCUACUCAGGGUCUCUGCUUGAGAGUUGUGGGAGUUGCUGAUAGUAAAUCUCUGGUGGUUGUGGAGGAUUUGUUGAAUAAGGGGUUGGAUGACAGCUUCUUGCUAGAACUUUGCCAGGUCAAGCGCGGUGGAGAAUCGCUAUCAAAACUUAGUCAUUUUGGAGAAUGCCGGGUAUUUGUGCAUCCGGAAUCACAAGGAAAGAUUUUAGAGAUUGCAUCUCAACUAGGUAAAAGGACAGGUUUGGUCUUAGUAGAUUGCUCUGCUAGCUCUGACACUAUUGCGGUGUUAAAACAAGGGGUUGAUAUGGGUUGUUGUGUUGUUAUGGCAAAUAAGAAGCCACUUACAUCUACAAUGGAGGAUUUUGAAAAACUUUUCACGCAUCCGCGUCGUAUCCGGCAUGAGUCAACUGUAGGUGCUGGUCUUCCUGCGAUAGCAUCCGUAAAUCGCAUAAUCUCUUCUGGUGAUCCUGUUCAUCGCAUUAUUGGGAGUUUGAGUGGGACUUUGGGAUACGUAAUGAGUGAAGUUGAAGAUGGAAAGCCACUGAGCCAAGUUGUUAGAGCUGCUAAAAGUCUGGGGUACACUGAACCGGAUCCACGUGAUGACCUUGGUGGGAUGGAUGUCGCAAGAAAGGCUUUAAUUCUUGCUCGAAUACUUGGUCGUCAGAUUAGUUUGGAUAACAUUCAGAUUGAGAGCUUGUAUCCCAAAGAAAUGGGCCCUGAUGUAAUGACUGUUGAAGACUUCCUGGGCCAUGGACUCUUGUUGCUUGAUAAAGAUAUUCAAGAGAGAGUUGAGAAGGCAGCUUCAAAUGGAAAUGUGCUGCGCUAUGUCUGUGUGAUUGAGGGCCCAAGGUGUGAAGUUGGUGUUCAAGAGCUUCCAAAGAAUUCUCCCCUCGGAAGACUAAGGGGAAGUGAUAAUGUGUUGGAAAUAUACACUCGAUGCUAUAGUGAUCAACCGCUGGUUAUUCAAGGUGCUGGAGCUGGAAAUGACACUACUGCAGCUGGUGUCCUUGCUGAUAUUGUGGAUGUUCAGGAUUUAUUUCCAUGAGUGGAAAGUUUCUGUCUUGAAUUUAAAGAAUGUGGUACAGUUGCUACACACCCUGGAAUCUUGCUGAUAAUAUAUUCUUGGUCCUCAUGCAUGGUACCCAUUUUUAAUUUGAUAUCUAUAUGGCUGUCAAUUUAAUCCUAUGGCCUGCAUAUUUUUCAAGUGGAUAGUGGAGCUUAGCUGCUGGCUUCAGAGGGAUGUUGAAUAUUACUAGAUUACUUUAGACACAUCAUUUCCACCUCAAAGAUAUUAUAGUGUCUGUUAUGUGGGAAAUGUAUUUCUGUAUUUUGUUAGGUUCGUACAAAAAAUAAAAGAAUCAUGAGGGAUUGAUUGAAUUUAAUAAAAGAACUAUUUCUGGAUGAAAUAUAGAUGGUGUUUAAGUGAAUCAUGAUGUU